CGUCGCCGUGGUGGUGGGUUUCGUUUCGCCUCGACGCCUUCGCGCUUCCCCUGCGUUCCCUCGCUUCGCGCCGCGCCGUCGCCCGUUUGGGAUCCGCAUGCCGCCCGCGGUGUUGGGGGGCCGCCCGUCCGAGGCGUGCCGAGCCAACGAGCCGAGCCGAGCUAAGGCGGCCCAGACUGGGGCGGUCCGCCGGUACAGCUUGUCCAGGUAAACGUUCAAGAAACACUUACCACGAACGAAAUUUCCUCUGAUGACAGUUAAGAGGGUACUGACCUUACUAGUUGGUUUACUACAAACGUGUAAAAUGGUCUUGCCACACACGAGAAUACCGUCAGCAACGUCUAUACUUGUACAACUUCAAAGAAGACUUAUGUGGGGUGGUAGUUGAUGACGUCGUGAGCGUGGUAAGUUGAGAAUAGCCAGAACCACAGGAGAAACACUCCCCCUUUAUCUACACUCGUUGGUCUGUGUUUUUUCAAAUAGCCGUACGAGACACGUAGUUAGAUGGACCUCUAAACUACUACUUCUAUCGUAAGGUCUCCUACCCUUGUCGAACAGUUACAGUAGUCGUGAUUGACGUGUUUUGGUUCGCGGGGUGGGUGAACGAGUAGACGGGUAUACGAGAAAACGACGUCGACCUUGAACAGGGAUACCCUUCUUCACGGGAGUCUACGUACCCCUAGAUACGUGUUGGACACCUUUUGUCACGAACGUAGGGAUGGCAGGGUCGCUUCCACCCCGAGUAUAGUUCGAGACGUUUUCUUUGUUGUUUGCAGAACUCCGGAACUUUUUUUCACUUCUCUAUCUUACAUCACAUACAAACCUGGCACACGAAAGUUUCGGGUGUCGUCGCCUUUUCUCCAAACCCGAAGAUGGACUUACACUGGUACGGAAGACAUAGUGUACGUAAUCCUUCACCGCGUCGUCGAGAGAAUGCAGAAGAUACCUAUAGCUGAGAUGUCAGUUCCGAACAGGUUAUACGGCGUUUCAGAGCAUGAUACAGUAAGGAUCACGAUGUACCAUGAGGAGCUUCCUCCUUUUUGUCCUAUAUUAACUGCCAAUGUUCCGGUUCGAGUUCAGCUAACUAACAUCCAUGAAACUGAAACCUUCCCUGUGAACGGGGAAACCGUCAGCUACAAAGAUGUUCGUACGGAUGUGGCUACCCGCAAACCUCCUCGGCCGUUGCCACCGUCACGAAGUAAAAGUACGGCUGUUACCUUCAUACCUCGUACGUUCUUUAUAGCCCAACCGCAUGAACGAGUCGGCCAAUGUAGACAUCUUCCCUUCGUCAACUCUUCUCUUCAUGAAUGAAUCCCUCGGUGGUAUUGAAAGAGAGGCCGACCACCAACGACGGUUGAAUAUAUUAGGUGUCCAUCAGCCGACGACAUUUUCGUCUCCCAAGGACUGCAAACUAGUACAGAAGAGUUCUGAAAGCACGAAGAAUGAGGAAGGACGACUUACGUCUUUGAAGUCAGACGACGGCAUUUAGAGGUUUUUCCUCUUGACAUUUGGAUUGCUGUCGCCUCUACAGUACGGAGUCCAGUAGUGCCCAAGGAACAGUACUUGCUAGCAACACAACAGAAACCCGAUCCUCAAGAGGACAGCUUGUAGUCUUGAAGUGCGGCAAUGGAAACGGACACAUACCUUCCGUGACAUAUAUGAGCAUCACCAUGUAGGACAGGCAAAGAGCAGGUACCUCAUUUAUUAAACAAGUCCGAUAUGUCCAUCUUGUCACGUUGCGUCUAGGAAGAUAUGCACUUAAAUACGAAACCGGGUGCUCAACUUUGGACGUUCCAGAGCCACCAUGAGCGUCCCGUCCAGGUACAUGAGAGAGGCGUUUCUUUAUGAGUGAGGCAAGGUAUUAUAUACUCGCAAUAAUACCCUGUCUCCCUCUCAUAGGGUAUUAUAUACUC
rnacentral:rRNA from 1 species